UGGUAAGAUACUUUAUAGAUUAUUAAAGAAGUUGACUCUCAUUGACUAUUUAUUUUACAGUGGAUAUAAAUUGUACAGUAAGCUACCCUCUCUUUUUAAUUUAAUAAAUUCAUACAGAAAAUGCUGGCAAAGGUGGAAUAUGGAGGAGUCACAAAGUAUAUCAAAGUUCCACAACCAGAUGAAAACUUUGAUUUCAGACAGUUUCUUCAAGAAGUAACCGAAAAAUUUAGUCUGCAGGAUCAACUUGUGACUGUCCUCAGCUUGACUGACACAUCAGAUACUGAGGUUGACGCAGACAUAUUUGAUGAGCUUAUCAAAUCAGGGGUGCGAAACUUCAAGGUUGGAUACCGCAAGCACCCAGUAACAGAUAUUGCUGUUCUUUUGGUUGAACCCGAGUCAGAAUCAUCUGUACAGCCAGACCCAUCGGCAUCUCAAGCAUCAAUUCCUGUCCCCCCAGUAUCACCAGCUUCACUGCAAGACUUUUCAACAGCAUCACCAUGUUCUUCCUGUUCAUCAGAGUCUACUACUCAUAGAGUCUUACCAGUUUGAUGUAAUG